rnacentral:misc_RNA from 1 species
ACACCUCAACUCUCAUGGUUUGCCCAUGACGAGCUUGGACUCUGGGGGAUUUGCUGGCCUGUGGUCAGCUCCCCUCAAACGAAUCAGCUUUCCAGUGUUUGGUGGCAUCAUGGGUGUGAUAAAUAUCUACGCUUGUGGUUUCCUGCCAGGUAACCUUCAGUAAUGGGGGUUCGCUGGGGCUCAUAAACGUCUCUCCUCAGUGAAGACAGCUUUGUGAAC